rnacentral:rRNA from 1 species
UCGAGUGGCGAACGGGUGAGUAACACGUGGGUGAUCUGCCCUGCACUUUGGGAUAAGCCUGGGAAACUGGGUCUAAUACCGAAUAGGACCACGCGCUUCAUGGUGUGUGGUGGAAAGCUUUUGCGGUGUGGGAUGGGCCCGCGGCCUAUCAGCUUGUUGGUGGGGUAAUGGCCUACCAAGGCGACGACGGGUAGCCGGCCUGAGAGGGUGACCGGCCACACUGGGACUGAGAUACGGCCCAGACUCCUACGGGAGGCAGCAGUGGGGAAUAUUGCACAAUGGGCGCAAGCCUGAUGCAGCGACGCCGCGUGAGGGAUGACGGCCUUCGGGUUGUAAACCUCUUUCAGUAGGGACGAAGCGCAAGUGACGGUACCUAUAGAAGAAGGACCGGCCAACUACGUGCCAGCAGCCGCGGUAAUACGUAGGGUCCGAGCGUUGUCCGGAAUUACUGGGCGUAAAGAGCUCGUAGGUGGUUUGUCGCGUUGUUCGUGAAAACUCACAGCUCAACUGUGGGCGUGCGGGCGAUACGGGCAGACUGGAGUACUGCAGGGGAGACUGGAAUUCCUGGUGUAGCGGUGGAAUGCGCAGAUAUCAGGAGGAACACCGGUGGCGAAGGCGGGUCUCUGGGCAGUAACUGACGCUGAGGAGCGAAAGCGUGGGGAGCGAACAGGAUUAGAUACCCUGGUAGUCCACGCCGUAAACGGUGGGUACUAGGUGUGGGUUUCCUUCCUUGGGAUCCGUGCCGUAGCUAACGCAUUAAGUACCCCGCCUGGGGAGUACGGCCGCAAGGCUAAAACUCAAAGAAAUUGACGGGGGCCCGCACAAGCGGCGGAGCAUGUGGAUUAAUUCGAUGCAACGCGAAGAACCUUACCUGGGUUUGACAUGCACAGGACGCCGGCAGAGAUGUCGGUUCCCUUGUGGCCUGUGUGCAGGUGGUGCAUGGCUGUCGUCAGCUCGUGUCGUGAGAUGUUGGGUUAAGUCCCGCAACGAGCGCAACCCUUGUCUCAUGUUGCCAGCACGUUAUGGUGGGGACUCGUGAGAGACUGCCGGGGUCAACUCGGAGGAAGGUGGGGAUGACGUCAAGUCAUCAUGCCCCUUAUGUCCAGGGCUUCACACAUGCUACAAUGGCCGGUACAAAGGGCUGCGAUGCCGUGAGGUGGAGCGAAUCCUUUCAAAGCCGGUCUCAGUUCGGAUCGGGGUCUGCAACUCGACCCCGUGAAGUCGGAGUCGCUAGUAAUCGCAGAUCAGCAACGCUGCGGUGAAUACGUUCCCGGGCCUUGUACACACCGCCCGUCACGUCAUGAAAGUCGGUAACACCCGAAGCCGGUGGC